rnacentral:rRNA from 1 species
GACGUUGGGGCUUGCUUAAACAUGCAAGUCGAACGAUGAACCGCUUUCGGGCGGGGAUUAGUGGCGAACGGGUGAGUAACACGUGGGCAAUCUGCCCUGCACUCUGGGACAAGCCCUGGAAACGGGGUCUAAUACCGGAUAUGACUGUCCAUCGCAUGGUGGAUGGUGUAAAGCUCCGGCGGUGCAGGAUGAGCCCGCGGCCUAUCAGCUUGUUGGUGAGGUAGUGGCUCACCAAGGCGACGACGGGUAGCCGGCCUGAGAGGGCGACCGGCCACACUGGGACUGAGACACGGCCCAGACUCCUACGGGAGGCAGCAGUGGGGAAUAUUGCACAAUGGGCGAAAGCCUGAUGCAGCGACGCCGCGUGAGGGAUGACGGCCUUCGGGUUGUAAACCUCUUUCAGCAGGGAAGAAGCGAAAGUGACGGUACCUGCAGAAGAAGCGCCGGCUAACUACGUGCCAGCAGCCGCGGUAAUACGUAGGGCGCAAGCGUUGUCCGGAAUUAUUGGGCGUAAAGAGCUCGUAGGCGGCUUGUCACGUCGGUUGUGAAAGCCCGGGGCUUAACCCCGGGUCUGCAUUCGAUACGGGCAGGCUAGAGUUCGGUAGGGGAGAUCGGAAUUCCUGGUGUAGCGGUGAAAUGCGCAGAUAUCAGGAGGAACACCGGUGGCGAAGGCGGAUCUCUGGGCCGAUACUGACGCUGAGGAGCGAAAGCGUGGGGAGCGAACAGGAUUAGAUACCCUGGUAGUCCACGCCGUAAACGGUGGGCACUAGGUGUGGGCAACAUUCCACGUUGUCCGUGCCGCAGCUAACGCAUUAAGUGCCCCGCCUGGGGAGUACGGCCGCAAGGCUAAAACUCAAAGGAAUUGACGGGGGGCCCGCACAAGCGGCGGAGCAUGUGGCUUAAUUCGACGCAACGCGAAGAACCUUACCAAGGCUUGACAUACACCGGAAACGUCCUGGAGACGGGCGCCCCCCCUUGUGGUC